rnacentral:rRNA from 1 species
ACGAACGCUGGCGGCGUGCCUAAUACAUGCAAGUCGAGCGGACGAAUCGAAAGCUUGCUUUUGAUUCGUUAGCGGCGGACGGGUGAGUAACACGUGGGCAACCUGCCCUGUAGACGGGGAUAACACCGAGAAAUCGGUGCUAAUACCGGAUAACACGAAAUGUCGCAUGACGUUUCGUUGAAAGACGGCGCAAGCUGUCGCUACAGGAUGGGCCCGCGGCGCAUUAGCUAGUUGGUGAGGUAACGGCCCACCAAGGCGACGAUGCGUAGCCGACCUGAGAGGGUGAUCGGCCACACUGGGACUGAGACACGGCCCAGACUCCUACGGGAGGCAGCAGUAAGGAAUCUUCCGCAAUGGACGAAAGUCUGACGGAGCAACGCCGCGUGAGCGAAGAAGGCCUUCGGGUCGUAAAGCUCUGUUGUUAGGGAAGAACAAGUAACGCAGUAACUGGCGUUACCGUGACGGUACCUAACGAGAAAGCCACGGCUAACUACGUG